CCUGAUUAUUGUACAGAAUCCACCAAGAAACGUAUGUUAAACGGCGUGAUCACACUUGAGAUGGCGACUAUUAAGUACUCAAUCGCAAUGGCGUAAGGGUUUCCCUUAGCAUGAGUAAUGAGGGUGAAAUAGAUUGAAACAAUACCGCACAUGGACGGUUGGUAGUCACAUGACAGUGUUUUCCGUGAACAGUUCUUCCAAG
rnacentral:lncRNA from 1 species